GACGAACGCUGGCGGCGUGCUUAACACAUGCAAGUCGAACGAAGUGGCGAACGGGUGAGUAACGCGUAACCAACCUGCCCCUCAGAGGGGGACAACAUUUGGAAACGACUGCUAAUACCGCAUACUGAAGGAGGGGAUUGGGUCUGAUUAGCUAGUUGGCGGGGUAACGGCCCACCAAGGCGAUGAUCAGUAGCCGGUCUGAGAGGAUGAACGGCCACAUUGGGACUGAGACACGGCCCAGACUCCUACGGGAGGCAGCAGUGGGGAAGCUUCCGCAAUGGACGAAAGUCUGACGGAGCAACGCCGCGUGAGUGAUGACGGCCUUCGGGUUGUAAAGCUCUGUUAAUCGGGACGCGGUACCGGAAUAGAAAGCCACGGCUAACUACGUGCCAGCAGCCGCGGUAAUAC
rnacentral:rRNA from 1 species